UACUCUGUAGACUAACGGUAGGUCACCUGGUUCUGGCCCAGGCAGUCGAGGUUCGAAUCCUUGCGGAGUAGC
rnacentral:tRNA from 8 species